rnacentral:misc_RNA from 1 species
AUUCUAUUUCUUGGAAAAAUAAUUGUUUACAAAUUCCCAGUUAUUAAUAAGAUUGUUGGCGAUCGAAAUCCUGGGCAAAGACAGCUGAAUGACUGCUCGUUCUUUCCCAAAGAGAAGACAAACGAAGAUAGCGCAUCCCAAGGAGGGUUUAAAUCGAUGGAAGGAGUUAGGGCAGCGUUUAAUACCCCCGGGUGAGAAGUCUGCGAUUCAGCUUUCGACCUGGCCAGUCGAUCUCGUGGCCGCGAAACGAGGAAAAGAAAGUGAACCAGGCGAUAAAAAAGGAGCGACUUGGAAUGAUUUCGUACACGUUUCAACGGUAAAUGGAUUUCUACGAGGGGAUACUCCUGAAGAAUCGCAUGCACGCUCGCGUUAUGCUUGUAUCCCGAGCCGGAUCCUUAAAUUGACUCGAUUUUUAAGGUCCAACCCGAAGAGGAGGUUGCGCCGCGGGGAUCCUGUGUUUCUUUUCCUUUCGCGACGUUCUCCCUUUCAUCUUUGCUCCACAUAUCGUCUUGGCCAGCCGAUUGAUA